AGAGUUUGAUCAUGGCUCAGGAUGAACGCUGGCGGCGUGCUUAACACAUGCAAGUCGAACGGUGAAGCAGAGCUUGCUCUGUGGAUCAGUGGCGAACGGGUGAGUAACACGUGAGCAACCUGCCCCUGACUCUGGGAUAAGCGCUGGAAACGGCGUCUAAUACCGGAUAUGAGCUGCGAUCGCAUGGUCAGCAGUUGGAAAGAUUUUUCGGUCUGGGAUGGGCUCACGGCCUAUCAGCUUGUUGGUGAGGUAAUGGCUCCCCAAGGCGUCGACGGGUAGCCGGCCUGAGAGGGUGACCGGCCACACUGGGACUGAGACACGGCCCAGACUCCUACGGGAGGCAGCAGUGGGGAAUAUUGCACAAUGGGCGAAAGCCUGAUGCAGCAACGCCGCGUGAGGGAUGACGGCCUUCGGGUUGUAAACCUCUUUUAGCAGGGAAGAAGCGAAAGUGACGGUACCUGCAGAAAAAGCGCCGGCUAACUACGUGCCAGCAGCCGCGGUAAUACGUAGGGCGCAAGCGUUAUCCGGAAUUAUUGGGCGUAAAGAGCUCGUAGGCGGUUUGUCGCGUCUGCUGUGAAAUCCCGAGGCUCAACCUCGGGUCUGCAGUGGGUACGGGCAGACUAGAGUGCGGUAGGGGAGAUUGGAAUUCCUGGUGUAGCGGUGGAAUGCGCAGAUAUCAGGAGGAACACCGAUGGCGAAGGCAGAUCUCUGGGCCGUUACUGACGCUGAGGAGCGAAAGGGUGGGGAGCAAACAGGCUUAGAUACCCUGGUAGUCCACCCCGUAAACGUUGGGAACUAGUUGUGGGGUCCAUUCCACGGAUUCCGUGACGCAGCUAACGCAUUAAGUUCCCCGCCUGGGGAGUACGGCCGCAAGGCUAAAACUCAAAGGAAUUGACGG
rnacentral:rRNA from 1 species